rnacentral:rRNA from 1 species
CAUACCUAUUCGAAGGGAUAGGGUCGGUUUGGCCGGAUUUCACACGAGUGUCGCAUGGCUGUCGUCAGCUCGUGUCGUGAGAUGUUGGGUUAAGUCCCGCAACGAGCGCAACCCUCAUCCUUAGUUACCAUCAGGUUAUGCUGGGGACUUUAAGGAAACUGCCAGUGAUAAACUGGAGGAAGGUGGGGAUGAUGUCAAGUCAUCAUGGCCCUUAUGGAGUGGGCUACACACGUGCUACAAUGGUGAUUACAAUGGGCUGCAAGGUCGCAAGGCUGAGCUAAUCCUAAAAAAUCAUCUCAGUUCGGAUUGUUCUCUGCAACUCGAGAGCAUGAAGUUGGAAUCGCUAGUAAUCGUGGAUCAGCAUGCCACGGUGAAUACGUUCUCGGGUCUUGUACACGCUGCCCGUCACGCCAUGGGAAUUGGUUUCACUCGAAGCU